UACGGAGGGAGCUAGCGUUGUUCGGAAUUACUGGGCGUAAAGCGCACGUAGGCGGCUUUGUAAGUUAGAGGUGAAAGCCCGGGGCUCAACUCCGGAACUGCCUUUAAGACUGCAUCGCUUGAAUCCAGGAGAGGUGAGUGGAAUUCCGAGUGUAGAGGUGAAAUUCGUAGAUAUUCGGAAGAACACCAGUGGCGAAGGCGGCUCACUGGACUGGUAUUGACGCUGAGGUGCGAAAGCCAGGGGAGCAAACGGG
rnacentral:rRNA from 1 species